GCUGUAUCAAGUUGAAACACCAGUUCCUGUAUGAUCACAAAAGUUAAGCAACAUUGAUCCUGGUCAGUAUCUAGAUGGUUGACCACUUGGGAAUACCAGGUACUGUAA